CUAGCACUGGAAACAGCAUCACAGAGACACAGGGAAGCAAGCUGGUGCCUCAGAAGAGUCACGCUGGCUGCUGGCAGGAUGUCUCCAGGCUUUGCUGGCGAUCAGAUGGUGGAGGAGCAGCUGAGAUGAAGCACUGCCCUCCUCAGCUUCAGGGAAGAAUCUUUAUGAGGGCAGAACACUGGCUUUUGAGUAUCCUAUAAAUAAAACCAGACCCAGUAUAGGGGUCAGUAAAAACACCUUUGCACCUGCUAAAGCUUCCUCAGAUUUGCCCUUAGUAAAACCAAAGCUGGAAUACAGACACAAACUCUUCUCUCACAAAAUCUUGCUGCUGGGUGUCCCUGUUGUGCAGUACCUAUAGGGUGGCCCAGGGCUUGCUGCUUCCUAUAAUCUCAAGCCUGCUAUGGACCUUGCUGUAGAAUGGAUGUGGCUGACAUUUAGCAGGAACACUAGCUCCUGUCACAACAGUGCCUGGGGAGAUGCAGCCAUGCUCAACCAUCCAGCUGAUGCAACCUGCUGUUUUGCAAGCUCAGUCAGCACCUCACUUCAUUGAAGAAAUGCUCCUGGCUAACACUGGGUGAUGUUUUCCAGAAAUGGCAUGGGCAGGAAAGAGGUUUUACUUGGCAUAAGCUGGCCUCAGCGCAACCUCUCCAGUGCUCUUCUGGGUGGAAGAAGCCAGCUUGGAUGAGUUUGGAGCUAAGCUGUGUUUAGCCACUCCACAAAGUCUAGAAGGACUGAAUGAAUGGCAUGUGGAUGCUCAGCCUCCUCUCCUGCCAGCCCCACUUGCAGAGGCCUCUCCAGGCACUGGGGAGCUGCUCUCCGUGGGACAAGCCAGGUACCUUUCCGUGCAUAAGAUUCAUGUGGUGGAGCACCGGCACAUGGACAAAGCUGGAGGCAGGUCAGAACAGAGAUGACUUGUUAGAAUCUCCCUCCUGGCAAAGGCUCUGGGUAAGGGCUUUAAUACUCUCUACUUGACAAACGUAAUUGCAAGUCAUGAGAAUACAAAGAUCUCCUAUUGUUCGGAUGCUGGAAGUUUAGGAAAGCAAAGAAUAUGUAUCUAUAUCUUCUUUUAAUGCAAAAAAAGGUCUUCUUGUUAUGCCAGAGCCUGCCUCUCUCCUUCAGUAUGUCCUCUGCUCUAGUGACACUCUGUCUGGAGCCCAGCUCCGCAGUCCUCUCGAACAAGUCUGGACCAUAUCCAGGUCUGGAGUCCUCAGCACAAGAAAGACAUGGACCUGUCUGAGCUAGUCCAAAGGAGGCCACAAAAAUGACCAGAGGGCUGGAAUACCUCGUCAGUGAAGAGAAGCUAAGAGACUUGGGUUUGUUCAGCCUGGAGAAGAGGGAGGCUCUGGGGGAGACCUUACUGUGGCCUCUCAGUCCUGAAAGAGGGCCUGUAAGAAAGCUCCAUCCGGCUCAGCGUUUGCUACAGAAAGAGUGGAGAGAGAGAGAGAGAGAGAGAGAGAAGAUGCCUUAGCGCUCAUCACACAGGCUGGUUUCAAGGGAGAUGCUUCAGGCUGAGGACUCUAUAUCCCCACUCAAGCACCUUUAUUGCAGCAAACAGUUUCCUUCCCUGGGCCUCCCUCAUUUUGCAGCUGGGUCUCUCCUUACUGCAUCUGCCUCUUUCCACUGGCAGAAACACUGUGACGGUGCAAGGUCCUGUCAAGACUGGGUUCACUUCUAGUGACUUUUCCUACCAGCUGCUAGGGAGCAAAGGAAGUUUUUGCUAUCUCUUACCAUGGAUUCAAGGGUAACAGAAAUUCUUGCUGAUGCUGCCCUGAUGCUGAAGAAAAUUCAGAGUAAUUUCUUUCUGAUGCCAUUGUGUUUGCACCAAAAUGAAGUGGGGCAAAAACCAAGUCACUGAAGAUCUUUGUGGUUGGACCUGAGGUCUCACUGCUGGGAGCAAGCUGUAAUUUGGUGGGCAUCUCCAUGGAGAAGCUGACCCUGACUUGACAGCUGGGAUCACAUAGGUGGAACAUACAGCUGGUAUGCUCUGAAAAAGAGCCUGGAUUUGUUUGGCAAAAGGCAGGACUGAGAAGCAUGACAUUGGUUUGCUUAUAAAUUCAGAAGUCAUUCACAUGGAAGAAUUGGACUGCAUCUCUAUUAACCACCAGUAGACCAAUAGCAGGGAGUCUGUAGAGUGAACCAGUAAUGGUGCUGAGGACCUGACAGCCACACUGUUUAAUGUUUUAAGGCUUUUACUUUGGGCUAACACUGGUCCAGACCCAGGCGUUGUAGCAUGUUACAUGCUCAGUUCAUCUGAAAUGAGUCCAGGUUUUGUGCUCAGAUGACUCUGCAAUGGCAACCACUGCACAGUGAGAAGGAUAUUAGAGGACUUAAGAAGCACUCUCCUGUUCUGAAUGAAGCCACUAAUGCAGGAAUUCCUGGUGAGCAGGACCUGAAGAGCAGCAACAGCCCAUGUUCUCAUCCCUCUGCACCAUAUGGGAUUUUGAAAACACAGCUGGCUUGAACACUGACUUCGGCAGUGAAAGCUGCAUUUUCCCUUGUGUGGAAGCAUUUCCUGUCUUCUUGGAUUUGCCUUUUUUAAAACCAGAGUAAAAUCAUGGAAUCAUAGAAUCACUUAGGUUGGAAAAGACCUUUAAGAUCAUCAAUACCAUCUGUUAACCCAGCACUGGCAAGUCCACCAUUAAACCAUGUUACCAAGCACAAGAUCUACAUGAUGGUGACCCAGCGAGUUCCACAGGCAGCCUGUUCCAGGGCUUGACCACACUUUUGGUGAAGAUUUUUUUUCCUAAUCUCAAGUCCCCCCUGGCACAGCUUGAGGCCAUUCCCUCUUGUGCUAUUCACUCUAAAAGAAUUGCACUGCCCUAGACAUCACCAGCUCCAGGCUGAAUCCUAGCCCUGAAAGGAGAGCAGUUCUGCUUGGUUUUGGGAGCAGGUGCCGAGCACUCUUUUAAAUCCUUUGCUUUAGACUUGCUUACAGACCACUGCUGCAAUGCAUGGUGACCAUU